CGUGCUUGCUUUGGCUGCUCGUAUAGUGAAAACUGGAAUGAUACAGAGAAGAUUAGCAUGGCCCCUGCACAAGAACGACACAUAAACUCAUGAAGAUUUCAUAUUAAAA
ensembl:snRNA U6 U6 spliceosomal RNA